rnacentral:rRNA from 1 species
GUACUACUCUCAGAGUUUGAUCCUGGCUCAGGAUGAACGCUAGCGAUAGGCUUAACACAUGCAAGUCGAGGGGUAACGAUGGGAGUAGCUUGCUGCAUCUUAUGGACGUCGACCGGCGUACGGGUGAGUAACGCGUAUCCAACCUGCCCGCGAGUAGGGGAUAACCCGCAGAAAUGCGGACUAAUACCCUAUAUAGUCCAAAGAUGCCAUCAGAUUUGGACGAAAGAUUUAUCGCUCGCGGAUGGGGAUGCGUCUGAUUAGCUUGUUGGCGGGGUAACGGCCCACCAAGGCAUCGAUCAGUAGGGGUUCUGAGAGGAAGGUCCCCCACAUAGGAACUGAGACACGGUCCUA